GGAAGCUCAGGCCCAGUAGCAGAAUGCGGCUCCCCAGGCCUUUCUAUGUGGCCCUUGGGACUCUCCCCAAGCCACGCCCCAUCUCUCCAGGCCUCACCCCCUCAGUGUCCCGACUUCGCAGCCUCUUUGGGUGUUUUUUGCCGGGCUGGAAUGAGCCUGCCUUGAACACUUGAUCAUGCUUCUUGCUUUACUAGAUUGACGAUAUGGAGGGUGUAUGAAUGUAGAAACCAGCUUACUGUAUAUUUUAAAAAAAAGUAUAAAAAGUAGGCCCACUUUGGCCUCUGGCCCUUCCCACCACUGACAUGUGGCCCCCACAAGAUUGCACAGAAGGGAAUGUGUCCCUUGGGCUGAAGAAAGAUUCCUCACUCUUGCGUUUUAAUGGACACACCAGUCUUCAAACACAGGAUCCAAAGCAUUGUGAUGUAUGUUUAGAUAUUAAAAACAUUUUCUUUAAUCAGUUCUUAGCAGUCUUAUUGUGCUUUAGAGGACUGUGGGCACAUAUAGUCUUCCUGUAAUCAUAACAAACUUAUUAAUAUCUUUCUACUGCAGGAACAGGAAGGGGAAAUGACUAGAAGGAGCAUUGUGUGUCUGAAUGUGUCUGAGAUCAUCGGUGCUGAGGUGAGAUCUAAGACUUUAUUUGGUCUUGUAGCUCCGGGAGGUGGGGGGGGAGUGCUAAAAAGGGCCUUUGAGAAACAAGUUUAGAUUGUCUGUGGGGUUGUUGGCAUUCAUUUAUGCUGUCUGCUUUAUUUAUCAGCUAGCAUAAGGCGGCCAGGUCUUUAAUUAGAGAAUGUAGCCUCAUCACUGUCCUAUAAAAGAGCUAAUGUGAAUGUUCUUUUGUUUCUUUUAAUAGUGUUGCGAUAUCACGAACGUAAUUAAAAUAGUUGCUGCAUCUGCCUAGCUUCAAUAAGGACACCCUUUGCAGCUCUGUUGAAUCACACAUUUUAUGAGCAACCGAAACACAUCCUAGAGAAACUGAAAUUCAACAUUUUUACACAGCCUAUAAUCAUCUUAAAGGAGUGGUGGUCUCCUUAAGUAUUGUUGUGCUUCAACCUGGUUUCAUUUCAACCUGGGGUGGAGAGAUUGAGUAGAUAUAUGCAGGUUUGCGUAUGUCUAUGGAAGCCAUUUUCCCAAAUAGCCACCAACCAUCCUCCUUCAGAACCUCCCUCAUAUGCCUUGUAGCACCUACAGCCGUACACUUCAACUUGUCCAAAAGGCGACAACUGGAUUAAUGGCCAGCUGUCCUGGUUGUCAGUUCACUUCCAGGCCCUCACAUUAGUACAUAAAGCCUUAGCCCACAAAUAGCUAAAGCAGUGGUGGCCAAACUUGGCCCUCCAGAUGUUUGGGACUACAAUUCCCAUCAUCCCUGACCACUGGUUCUGUUAGCUAGGGAUGGUGGGAGUUGUAGUCUCAAAACAUCUGGAGGGCCAAGUUUGCCCACCACGCAUCUAAAGUCACCUCCUUCCCUACAGGUCCUCUGGGUAGUUUUCCUAACCCUCAGAAGUUCCAAGGGGUGGCAACCUAGGAGAUGGUAUUCGGCCUGUAAAGCGAGAUAAGCACCGCAACCCGAGAGUUGUCUGCGACUGGACGGGGGUCCUUUACCUUUUUUUAUGAUGCAGUUAAAAUAUCUCUGCGUGUAGAAAAUGAAACUAAAGAUCGCUGAGGAGCGGAAACAACAGUACAAAGGACUGACCCACUCGCUGAAUUAAUUGAUGGAUUAAUUGUAUACCCCAGGGGGAAGUGAGCCUUUUUAAUUCUCUUUUGAUAUAUAUGUAUUUGCAGUUUUACCUGACAAACCUCUCCCGAAAGGUAACAGUUUGAAAUACGCAAGGGGGUUUGAAAGAACACUGCUGAUAUCUCCUCAGUGGAAGGAAAAAAUUCUGGACUGGAGCUACUUUGUUUUUGCAGAGGUACCAGCAUUUUGGGAGAUGGUGCGAGACUACGGAAGGGAACUCUGGAUGGCUGCCCAGAGCUAAUGGUGUCUUUUUGUCUGGGACUGUGGCAUAUUAUGGCUCCUGUUGGCAAAAAUAUUUCACACAGAACUAUGAAGACGAAAGUUUGAGCAGACCAGUGGUUGUAAACAUAAAUGAAAAUUAAGUGAAGCAUUAACAUCUGAAUGGUUUGUUCACUAAUUAAGAAAUGCAAUGUGAUAUUAGAUUAUUAGCAC
rnacentral:lncRNA from 1 species